CCAUAGUAGAAUACAAGAGAAGUGACUAUGUAAAAAUAAAAGGACAGAUUUAGGUAGGUAAAGGAAAGAAAAAACUUUAGAUCAAAGACUGGAGCACAACUCGUUUCAGACAAAGAUGCAAGUAUUAAAUCUAAGAGUAAUGCUAGGCUAAAAAAGAGCAAGGUUGAGCGCCUGACGAAUCUGCACAGAAAAAAGCAGAGCAGGUUGAAUGCUAGUAUGCAAUGCACCAUAGACUUCAAGAGUCAGCGAAUAUAAAAGGCUAGUCUAUCAUCAACAAAGAUAGAUAUAUCCAUAUAUAUAACACUUAGGAAUAUAUAGUAGGGGUUGAAAAAAUCGUACCAUUCAAAGUUCCGUUCACCUUGUAUAUAUGUUUAGCCUAGUCUUUGUGUAGGAUAAGCUCAAGAUCUAAUCAAAUAUGAUCAACACAGUAAAGCAAGCCCAACACCACAGAAGUGCAUAUCAGUUAUACCGAUACGAUUAAUGUUUUUGUUAGAAUUAAUCAUCCUAAGCAUUAUCAGUCCUAAUUCCCCCUAUAGCCGCGGUAAGUAUUAAGUUUCACGGAAUCAAGCCCAGCUAGAAUGUACAUCAAGUAUGACUUCAGAAGAAGGUCUGGUCACAAGAUUACAAACCUCAUACUCUCUGAUAUUAUACUUAAACAAAAUAGAUAAGCUUAACUAGUUUGAAUAGUUAGCAGGAAAUUGAUCCUUGUAAAAAAAUAAACAGUUCAGAGAGAAAUUUAAGAAGCUAGCCAGAUAGGUUGCACAAGUCAAAAUCUGUUAGGGCCUCUAACCUCUAUUGGAUGAAACCUGAAAAGUUGUCUUCGAAGCAUAUACAAAUUCUUUGAAAUGGCUCAGCACUUAUUCUAGCAGAGAAGGCAACAGCAUAGAAAUAUGGUAACAAAGGCAAUGGCAUAAGGCCUGUUUGGAGUCGCUUAUUUCCCGCUUAUUGGUGAAAAUAAGCGAUAAACCCACCCAAACGCCUCGCUUAUUCCCCGCUUGUCACGUAAGCCGCUUAGUGGAAAAUCUGGAAUUGAACUAGCAGGCCGCUUAUCUCGUACGUGGCUCUGGGUACGCUUCUGGGGCAAGCGGACCGUUUUUUCGCAGUACCCUCGGCCACCGACGCCACCGAGCCUCCCGCAACCGCCGCCACACCCGUCCGCUCCAGAUCCCGCCGCCGCUGCCGCCGCUCGGGUCGCUCGGGCCGCUUCCAGAUCACCACCGCCGGGCUCGGCCCCCGCCGCCGGACGCCCCUGCCGCCUGGGCUCGGGCCCCGCCUCCGGUCGCGCCGCCCGGGCUCGGAUCCCGCCGCCGGCCGCCCGUGCCGCCCUUGCUCGGCCCCCGCCGCCGGCCGCUCGUGCUGCGCUCGGCCCCCAACGCCGGCCGCCCGUGCCGCCUGCGCUGGGCCCCCGCCGCCGGCCGCCCGUGCUGCGCUCGGCUCCGCCGCCGGCAGCCCGGCCCGCCUGCGCUGGGCCCCCGCUGCCGGCCGCCUGUGCUGCGUUGGUCCCUGCCGCCGGCCGCCCGUGAGGCGCCUGUCGCCAGGACUGAAGUGUUGAGGGAUGUCCAGCUCCAGCUCAUGGAGAUGAGAACGCCGCCGUGAGCAGCGUGGUGAGCGGCCACACGGCGCGCCUCGCCCGCCCCUUCUCCGGAGACCCGGGCGGCGCACGCUCGUAUGCGCGGAGGCAGCGGAAGAGGAGGAGCAGGGCGAGGUACGAGCCGACGACAAAGAGGACGGAGGCGGGGUCGCCCCUGGCGCUGUAGAUGGCGAGGCCGGAGUUGAGCGUGAGGAAGCCGAAGCCGGCCAUGGUGACCCAGGUCGGCGCGAGGUUGCGAUUUUCCGCCAUGGCAGCGCAGAGGUGCUUUAUGCGUGUGGUUUGGGGGCAGCAGACUAGUGGAAAAUGGCCAAAUGGGAGAGGGAAAUCCCAAGUCGCCGGUCGGGUCAAGUGGAUCACCUCGCCGUUUCGUGAUUCGUUGUUGUACCCAUGAUGGAUGUUUCCAUACUAGACCGAUCUAUCGUAUGAAUUUAUUGUAAUGUAAUUUCUAUUUAACAAACUCCAAAGGCAUUAGAAUUAUUGUCUUCUCCUCAGAUUCACAAUAAAAAUGAGCUAUUAUCAGCCUUAGGGGCAUUCAGGUCAAUUUACCAACCAGGACAGACAAUCGACACAAAAUAAUCAGGAUUGCCAAACACCCUGCUUAUUCAGACAGCAGAUUCUCCAGGCAGCAGGCUUACCAGAUAAGCUUGCUUGCCAGAUAAGCGAGUUCCAGAAAAGCGUAUACAAACAGGCAAGCGAGUUCCAGAAAAGCGUAUACAAACAGGCCCAUAGACUGAAAGAAUGAUUUAUCAGCUUGAAGUGACAUUUCAUCGAACACUUAAAGUGCAAGCAUUAGAAGGAUAGAGCAUCAAGCACAGCAAAUCACCUUGGGUGUCUCGAGAAUGACCAGAUUGACAGGCAGCAAAAUUGCCUCGUCGUGGUGAGUGUGGCUGUUUCGAUAGGUGGCAAGCACAGAGCAGCAAACACAGGCAACAGCGUCCUGCUGCCUUGCUGGCACUGAUGCCUUAGCGAGCUUCAUGGCGGUGUAGCGGAUAUCCUCAGGUGUGGCGAGCGUGGCCGGAUCGAUGUGGGGCAGACGACCGCCGACGCCUGGGCGGGCCUUCCAUCACUGCCGUCGAUGGCCGCGCCGGCAAUGGAGGAGAUUUAGGCUGGCCACCCGGCGACGACCUGCUCCCCAUGCGCCUUGUUUGCAAAGCUCUCGUCCAGGGUGAGGUGCGACGAGUGGGAGAGGGAGCGCCUAUCCUGCCACGAC
rnacentral:lncRNA from 1 species